rnacentral:misc_RNA from 1 species
UUCAGAUUUACGUACAACAAGUACAAGGAAAAGCCAUAUCAACCCUAUUAGACUUACAAUUAAUGGUGUCAUACCCAUAACAUAGCAGCAGAAUGGAGAAAGUUGAGAAUAUAGAUGUAUAAGGUGAUAUUAGUAAUGACAAAAUAUUAUUAGUUGGAGCAGGGAAAGCAAGCAUUGUAAUGCUGAAGUCCACUAAGUUUGAGCAUCAUAAUAUAGCCUUUAUAGCCUUUGCAUGGAAAAUCCAGAAAACAGAAGAGAAACUGGAAGCAGUGUGUAGUUUUGUUAUGUUUGUUUAGCCCAUGGCAUAUUUCUGGGUCCAAGAUCGGGCGUUAUUUUCAUACUUGGCUCUGUCAUUUUUGUACAUGUGAGCUAUCUCUGGCACCAACGGAUCGUCUGGAUUCGGGUCUGUUAGCAGUGAGCAUAUCGACAAUAAAACCUUGGAAACAGUAAGAGCAGGGCUCCAUUGCUCUUUCAAAAUGUCAAGGCAGAUACUUCCAUUGUUGUUGAUGUUAGGGUGAUAGACUUUGGUUUUAAAGGAAACCUGCUCAACACACAAUAUAACUGUCAUGACUAUCAUAUGGGCAUUUCUUCAUGAGAUUUGAUUUUUAAUUGCUUUUUGCAAGAUUACAAAGAUUCAAAACAGAAGCAGUAGGUAACAACAAUUGAACCUG